rnacentral:rRNA from 1 species
GAUGAACGCUAGCGGCAGGCUUAAUACAUGCAAGUCGAGGGGCAGCAGGGGUGUAGCAAUACACUCGCUGGCGACCGGCAAACGGGUGCGGAACACGUACGCAACCUACCCAAAACUGAUGAAUAGCCCUCCGAAAGGAGGAUUAAUACAUCGUAACAUAAUGAAGUGGCAUCACUUUAUUAUUAUAGCUCCGGCGGUUUUGGAUGGGCGUGCGCCUGAUUAGAUAGUUGGCGGGGUAACGGCCCACCAAGCCUGCGAUCAGUAACUGGUGUGAGAGCACGACCAGUCACACGGGCACUGAGACACGGGCCCGACUCCUACGGGAGGCAGCAGUAAGGAAUAUUGGUCAAUGGACGCAAGUCUGAACCAGCCAUGCCGCGUGAAGGAUGAAGGUCCUCUGGAUUGUAAACUUCUUUUAUAGGGGACAAACCCGGGAUUCUUUCCGAUUGACGGUACCUAGGAAUAAGCACCGGCUAACUCCGUGCCAGCAG